rnacentral:rRNA from 1 species
GACGAACGCUGGCGGCGUGCUUAACACAUGCAAGUCGAACGGACAGGCGCUGCGUUUGCGGCGUGCUCGAGUGGCGAACGGGGGAGUAACACGCGAGUAACCUGCCCUUGACUUUGGGAUAACUUCUGGAAACUGGGGCUAAUACCGGAUAGGAGCUCUUGCUCCAUGGUGGGGGUUGGAAAGUUUCGGCGGUUGGGGAUGGACUCGCGGCUUAUCAGCUUGUUGGGGGGGUAGUGGCGUACCAAGGCUUUGACGGGUAGCCGGCCUGGGAGGGUGACCGGCCACAUUGGGACUGAGAUACGGCGCAGACUCCUACGGGCGGCAGCAGUGGGGAAUAUUGCACAAUGGGCGGAAGCCUGAUGCAGCAACGCCGCGUGCGGGAUGACGGCCUUCGGGUUGUAAACCGCUUUCGCCUGUGACGAAGCGUGAGUGACGGUAAUGGGUAAAGAAGCACCGGCUAACUACGUG